CCUACGGGUGGCAGCAGUGGGGAAUAUUGCACAAUGGGCGCAAGCCUGAUGCAGCGAUGCCGCGUGCGGGAUGGAGGCCUUCGGGUUGUAAACCGCUUUUGUUCAAGGGCAAGGCACGGGCGUUGGCCGGGUUGAGUGGAGGGGUCGAAUAAGCACCGGCGAACUACGUGCCAGCAGCCGCGGUAAUACGUAGGGUGCAAGCGUUAUCCGGAUGUAUUGGGCGUAAAGGGCGCGUAGGCGGUUCGUCGCGUCCGGUGUGAAAGGCCAUCGCUUAACGGUGGAUCCGCGCCGGGUACGGGCGGGCUUGCGUGCGGUAGGGGCGACUGGCAUUCCCGGUGUAUCGGUGGAAUGUGUCGAUAUCG
rnacentral:rRNA from 1 species